CCGCUCAGGUCCCGGGAAGCAGUGGUCUCUCACAGUCAUCAAGUCCUCUUACAGUAGCGGGCUCAGAGUGGUGCUCUGAAGUACCUCCCUGUCGAUGUCUCUCCCCCCCAUUACCCGCAACCUAUGAACGACUCUGAGCCGCGGGGCUAACGCAGCUACCAGGCUAACAAAGAGCUACUAGGCUAAUCAAGGCUGGUACAGCUACAGGGCUAACACAAACAGCUGCUAGGCUACUAUAGCUAGUGGGCUUAUAAACAGCUACUGGGCUCACACACACAGAUGAUGCUGAACGGGAGAGAUUGUUCUUGUAUUUUUAUCGCAGACAUGCCUCCUAGCUGCGUCUCUUUUUGGUUUAUUUAUAAUGUCUCAGAGUAGGAGAUGAAGAGGAAGAGACAGCAUGAGGAGGAGAAGCCUACUGCUAGCCCUAGUCCAUUACUGCUAGCCCUCUGUUAGCCUUCUGUUAACCCUGGUUAGCCUACCGCUAGUCCUCGCUUAGCCUACCGCUAGCCCUGGUAAGCCUACCGCUAGUCCUGGCUUAGCCUACCACUAGCCCUGGUUAGCCGAUCGCUAGUCCUGGCUUAGCCUACCGCUAGCCCUGGUUAGCCGACCGCUUGCCCUGGUUAGCCUACUGUUAGCCCUUGUUAGCUUACUGCUAGCCCUGGUUAGUCGACCGCUAGCCCUGGUUAGCCUACUGUUAGCCCUGGUUAGCUUAUGGCUAGGCCUGCUCAGCCUACCUCCAGGCUUCGGUAUGCAAACUUCCUCUGAAGUUCUUCAGUUUUAUUUCAUCGUAUUUAUAUUGGGAGGGUUUGAGUUCAUAUAUAUGUUAGACAUCCACAUGUCCCAGUCUUGGUCGUUGACCGCCCCCUUAAACCCCCCUGCCCCUUUAAGACGGUCCCCCUCCUCACCACUAAACACGCCUGUCCGUGCCAUGUCUGUACGCUGUUUGCACUAGACACUAGAGUAUUAUGUAGUCGACAACAGGGUCACAACUUUUAGAACAGGCCGACCCGGGUUCUGGACAGACCUCCUGAGCCGUCCGAUGGAGCUGAGCUAGGUAGUUCUCCAGAGUAAAACCGUAUGUAUUUGUUUACACAUAUCAAAUAUGAGCGUUGGCUGGAAUUAGAUAUGUUUUGGGUCCGCUCUUAUUGGAAUCGUCAAAUUCAGUUUUCCUGCCGCAAGACAGCCAAAUAUUUGUGUUAAUUUCUAAAAGCCGUCUGUGACAAUGACCAUGUUUAAGUGUUAUUGACGAGGUUUCAGAAGAAAAAACUGAAGAGUAACUUAUUUUCUACAAGAUCCCGUGAAGUAUAAAGUAAAAAGAUGCGAUAAGCCAGUGGGAUCUCGGAGUAGCCGUCGUAGAAGCUGAGUAGGAUCUCUUAGACAGCGCUGUGUAAUAGGUAGAGUUAUAAACACUCUGUGGUUGUUUCUACAGAACUGGAAACGGUUCCUCCUGUGAUAUUUCUAUAUUUGAUGGGUAGCUUGUGACCUUGUACAGAGAGUAGAAGUCUUUUCGUUUGUAGUUUGGAUCUGCUAAGCACUUUACCGUCCAGUACAACUUAAAUCCAUUCAGUAGAGCCCGACGACUUUUAUUUUGGUAUUUUUCGUAUAUGACAGUUUUUCGAUACUCCUCCAUGUGUUGAAGCGCUGAUGCUGUGCUCGAGGUAAAGACACGCCAACACGCAUCUCCUAGAUAUCGUGUCUGCUGUUACUCUGUAUAAAUCAUUACUCCUAUACAGUAUGUGAAGUACAGGCCCCCAACACUGAGCCUACUGGGUCCCUGGGGGGUCUAUAGAGGACCAAUGGGACUGGCCCCUGGGUCUCUAGUGGGUCUGGCCCCUGGGUCUCUAGUCGGACUGGCCCCUGGGUCUCUAGUGGGUUUGGCCCUAGCUCUGGCCCUGGGUUUGGCCCUUGGUUUGGCCCUUGGUCUUGCCCUGGGUUUAGCCCUGGGUUUGGCCCUGGGUUUGGCCCUGGGAUUGGCCCUUGGUCUAGCCCUGGGUUUGGCCCCUGGUCUAGCCCUGGGUUUGGCCCUGGGUUUGGCCCUGGUUUUGGCCCUGGGUUUGGCCCUGGGUUUGGCCCUGGCCAUGGUCCUGGUUCUCAUCAGUAUUUAUUUGCCACGUUAAAGAGUAUUUGUGUUUCACUAAAUGUCACGUGCCUUAGAUGCCAACAGCCUCCGUGUUGGAAGAGCUUAGAUUAAAACGUAGGAACUGGGUUUUCUUAGCCUCCAGGCAUUAGGAUGUCAGCGUUUCCGCGUUGUCUGAUUUUAAUUUUUUUGGUGAAACAUUUGAGGAAAGGAUCUUUUCCAAACCGUCCUUUCCAUUCUCCGGUGCCAUAUGUAGUUCACGGCGACGUUUGACCACAAGCCAACGAUCAACUCACACCUCGGUUCCGACGAAGGUAACAGAAGAGUCGUACUGCACGGGUGUUUCUGUCGGCACUCGAGCCGGGUCCGCCGCAGGGGUUCUCCCGUUGGAACUGCGAAGCACGAGACGAGCAGGAACGGCUCUGAGGCGGACUCACUUUGUCUUAAGGACCCACGGCGUUUUGUACAGAUGUUCAGCAGCUGCUCCAUCCAGAGUAGGAAGCUCUUUUGUAAACCUUUUGAAACACUUGAGUUAAAUAAAGCACCUUAGCACCUGCAGUCCUCGUCAAUGACCUGAGAAACUCGCUCACAUGUCCCUGC
ensembl:lncRNA